CAGCAGCCGCGGUAAUACGGGGGGUGCAAGCGUUAAUCGGAAUUACUGGGCGUAAAGCGUGCGUAGGCGGUUCGUUAAGUCUGUUGUGAAAGCCCCGGGCUCAACCUGGGAAUGGCAAUGGAUACUGGCGAGCUAGAGUGUGUCAGAGGAUGGUGGAAUUCCCGGUGUAGCGGUGAAAUGCGUAGAGAUCGGGAGGAACAUCAGUGGCGAAGGCGGCCAUCUGGGACAACACUGACGCUGAGGCACGAAAGCGUGGGGAGCAAACAGGAUUAGAUACCCCCGUAGUCCCUGUCUCUUAUAC
rnacentral:rRNA from 1 species